rnacentral:lncRNA from 1 species
CCCGCCCGAAAAAUGGGAGGGUUUGGGUAAAAAUAUAUGCCCGAAAUAUAGGUUUGGGCAAAACAUGAGGCCCGUUUAAAAAACGGGCCGGGACUUAGGCAAAAAACUUUUCGCCCUAGCCCGACCCAAAUAUAUAUUAAAUAUAUAAUAUAUUUUAUAGUUUUUAAAAUAUGCUACUUUUAAGUUUUAAGUUAAAUGUUUUAAAUUUUGUUUCACUUCCGUCUUCUACCAAUCUUCCAAAAUCCCUAACCUAUCGUGCCCUUCUCCCUUUUUUCCCAAUUCCAAAAUACCGAUCCACCUCUACCGAUCUACCUCCAAUCCUCCACCCAAUUUAAGGUAAAUGGAGCUCUAUUUUGAAAAUAAUUUUGUCAAAGUAAACCAUUCACAAUCGUUGUAUUUUGCUUAAUUUUUGCGUCUGAAUCUUUUAAGAAAUCAUUAACAAUGGAUCCCUUGAUGAUUCCCUUCCAUUUUCUGUUUGUUUGUUUCUGGUUAAUUCGGGUCAUUUUAUGUUUGGCUGUUUGUUUCUGGUUAAUCCGGGUAACUUCAUUUUCUUCUUCUUCCAUUUUUUGUUUGUUUAUGUCUGUAUUUUGCUUAAUGUUUACUAAUUAGUAAUUACAUUGAUCUCUUUUACUGGAAUUUGGUGCAAGUACCAGAUGCGGGUAUUUUGCCGAAUUCUUUUUUUAAGUUUCUGUUUCUGUCUAUUUUUGUGAGUACCAUAUUUCUAGUUAAUGCGAGUACCAUAUUUCUACUUAAUGUUUGUUUCUGACUUUCUGUGUGUUUCUUUUUUUAACAUAGACUUCAAUAAUUAAUGAAUUUGGCAACAUGUGGUAGUGUUUUUCUUAUGAUGUUGAUUUGGUAUUUCAUUUCCUAUAUAUAUAAAAUCAUUCAUUAAGUAAAGAAAAUAAUUGAUAGAAAUAUGUAGGAAAUUCUUAUCUAAUAUUGUUGAAAAAGUAACUUAGUUAAUUUCAGAAUAAAUUGAAUAGUUUAAUUCUUAUACUAUUUAAAAAAUAAGCAGACAAGAGUGAUUGAUGAUAAUGUUAACUAUUUGCAUUAUAUGUUAACUAUAGCACUAUUUAGUUGUUAGAGACUUGUUUGAAAAGUCAUUCCUUUCACACUUUGCAUUAAUUAAUAUAUAAAAUGUGUUGGCCAAAACUUAUAUACAAAAAAUUGUUCUUAAUUUUUUUAAGUAAACAAACAAUAAAGACUAUUUUUUUUAGUGAUACACUUAACACCUAGAUUUAUUUAAGAGUUAAUUGGUAUAACUUGUUAAUCUGGGUAACUACAUUUUCAUCAUCUUCUUCUUCUUCUUCUUCCAUUUUAUGUUUGUUUCUGUCUGUAUUUUGCUUAAUGUUUACUAAUUACAUUGAUCUCUUUUACUGGAAUUUGGUGCGAGUACCAGAUACGGAUAUUUUGCCGAAUUCUUUUUUUAAGUUUCUGUCUGUAUUUUGCUUAAUGUGUUCAUGUCUGUUUCUUUUUUUAACAUAGACUUCAAUAGUGACAUUAAGCUAGAUCGUUUUAGAUGAUCUGUUAUGUAUGUUACUUGUAGUUUCUAGUUAUUUUUAAUUGAAAAGAGUUUAGUUGAGGAGUAGGAAGUAAGCAGCACUUAUUUGAUAAGUGGUGUUAAAAUACUUGAGUCAUAUUAUGACAGUAUACUUGUGCAAGCUCCAAUAUAGUGGCUGGAGUUGAUAUUGUCAUAUCACAAUAAAGUUCUCAGAAUUUUGAAAUUGCAUCGGAUUCGAGUUUAAUGAAUUUAUUAUAAUGUUUACUGAGAUCACAAACUUAGUUUCUUCAUUUAAUCUUAUCUUUUUUUCUUUUUGCUUUGUUUUAUUGUAGAAACAAGCGACAUUGAAAUCGAUUUGGCUUACCUUAGCUUCCUUUCCCGUAAGCUUUCAUUUACAUUUUCCUUUUAGAAUUUAAUUUAAUUUGAUUUUCUUUUAUGUUACUUUGUACAACAUUUUGCAAUUAAAUGCAGCAUUAGCAGAUUUUCUAGAUGAUAAUUUGUGUCCUUAUCUCAAAUGAUUGGUAUGAUUAUUGAUUCCUCUGAAAAAGAAGUGAACUUCCAAAAUAUUAGAGGGAAAGAAAAAUUUUGAUUUAAUUAUGGUAAUGUUAUGCUAAAAUUGUUUAUCUACUAGUAGGAAAAUAAUGGGAUUGAGAAAUAAAGAUGGUUCUAUUUAUGAAUUUGGAUUGGAUUUAUGCAGUUCGGACUGGAAAAUAAUUGUUCUUAGCAGAUAAAUGAUCAUAGAAAUAUUUGUUUUUUGAUUAAAAUUGAUUUAUUUUUUAUAGAGCAUGUACUUUGCAUUUAAUUGAAGUCUAGGUGAAAUUGAUUUAUUUUUUAUGUACCACCUUUUAUUAAAAAAUGCCCAUAAUAUAUUUUUAUAUUUUUAUAUUUUUUAUGUACCACCUUUUAUUUAAAAAUGGGUCGGGUCGGGCCAGGCUCGAGCUUAGUAUUUUUUUCCCUAGGCAGUGCUUGGACAAGAUUUUAGGCCCAUAUUUCGGGCCGGACCCGGGCCUAGAAAGCGGGUCGAAAUUUUUUUCUGGGCUAGGCCCGGCCUCGCCCAUGAGCACCUCUAUUAGGAAUCAUGGAAUUUGAACUAAAAUAUCAUACUUUUUAAGGUAAACUACUAGGAUUAUCGCUUGAGUUUUAGGGUCACUCAAAAUUUUUUAUUUCAGUCACUCUUGUUAGAUUAAUUGCACUUUGUAGUCACUCCACCGUUCAAAUUUAUUUGACCAUCAAAUGGAAUGGCAGUAUAAUAACAAAUUUUGACCUCAACAUUCACAUAUUUUGUUAAUUAGUUCUAAUUUAUUUUUAAAAAUUAACAAAUUUAACUGUCAACAUUUAUACAUGUUGUCAAAUUUAUCCUGAUACUAAAAAUUCAAAAUUUAUAUAAAUAAAGAAUUUAAAAAUAAAUAUAAAAAAUUGAAAGUUAUUAAAAUUUAUAAAAAAUAAAAAAAAUAUUAUAAAAUAUUCAAAUAAUCACUAAAAUUACAUUAAAAGUUUUAAAUUUUAAUAUAUUAUUUUCAAAAUAUAUAAUUCCAUUAAAAUUUAAGAGAUAUUUAAAGUAUUUUUUUUCAUUUUUUACUUUUAUUUUUCUUUUUCAAUUUUUUAGACAAUGUCACUGCUCCUUUCUCAUUGUCAUUUCACAUAAUUGCUUCCAACUUGUAAUAAGUCCAUUGGAGGACUUGCAUUUUCUAAUGUAGUUUACCCACUUUAUGUAUAUUUCAUAUUUAUUUCUAAAUUGUGUUAAUUAAUUUAAUUCUUCAUAAAUUUUUAGCCAAGAUUCCAAAAUCACAUCAAUUAACAAUUAUUCACUUAUUAUUUUAUCAAUUCGUUUAAACAUUCUUAUAUGUAUUAAUCAUUCCAUCACUUAUAACCAGCGGUAUAGCAAGGGGGUUGGUAGGGGGACUGUCCCCCUUAAAAUGGAAAAUUUUUCAUAACCUUUAAAUUGUUUAAAAUUGUAAAUUAGUAAAGGUAAAAAUGCACUUUGGCCCCCGUAAAAAUGAUAAAAAUUGAUUUAAUCCUUUAAAAUUUAUAAAGAUAUAGGCUAUUAAAAUGGUGAAAUUGCAUUUUUACUAUCAUAAAAAUUACAAUUCAAUUUUGGCCCCUAAAAAUAUUUUAUGGCUUCGCCCCUGCUUAUAACCAUUUCGUAACAUUUCAAAUUCAUCUACUAUUUUUUUUCUCCUCCUCUCCAUUCCACAUCCUUUAUAUAUAUGUGUUAGAAUCAUUAGUGUUAAACCAAGCUUUAUUUGAUAAAAUGUUUUGAUAUAAAAAAUUGAAGUGUUUUUGAAUAAAAGUUAAAAAUGAACAAAAUUGACAAAAUGAUUUGUUAAAAUUAAAGCCUAAGAGUUAAAACCUUGAAUAUCCACUUUGAACUCUUAGAAAAAAAUUUAAACCUCUUUAAAAUCAAAUUAAAAUGUUUUUCAUUAAGUAAAAUGACUUUUAACAAAUCAAAUAAUUUUCAAACAAAUCAAAAUUGUUACAGGCCAAAAAGUAUAGAUACCUUUUUGGACAAGUAUCGAUAUUUUAUGAAUUAUCGAUACCCUUCUUAAAAGCGAUACCAAAAUGGCGUUCUAUUAUUCACAAACCCUAUUAAGUAUCGAUAUCUUUUAGUCAAGUAUCAAUAUUUUUUGAAAUACCGAUACACCUUAAAAGCGAUACUAAAAUAGUAUUAUGUUUCUUACAAAACUUACAAAGGAUUGAUAGGUAUCGAUAGCUUUUUAUAAAGUAUCAAUAAAACUGUUUUGGUAUCGAUAACAAAUCUCCAAUGGUCACUGAAUUUAGCAUUUAUUGCGAAAAUUAUUGAUACCCUUUUAUAUGGUAUUGAUACUCAAUGUUACAUGUGAAUUAAAUGCUCUAGUUUCUACAUCCCAACGACUCUAUUCAUGACACCAACAACCUCAACGGUUGGAAAUCAAUUAAGGGGUAUAAAUACCAACUUUUAACGUUCCUACAACAAGAAGAAAGCACUUUCAAGCUAAAAUCAUCAAUUAAACGACCUUUGAGCUUACUAUUUCCAUAUUCUUCUUACAUACACUUGUGAGCUUUAGUUCUAUUCUUUUUCUCAAGCGUAUUUCAUUGUAUUUGAGCUUGAUUUGCAAACACUUUGAUCUUGUAAGGGUCAUUUCUUUGUUUGCUUAUUUGUGCUUCCUUGAGAGGGUUUGUGUCUUAAGAUUAAGGAUAGAAAUCUUAAAGGAGUUGUAAGGUUAAACCUUAUCCUCAAAGGUUAUCAAAUUAGUGAAUUUGGGAAAAUCCUUAGUUGUGGAAAGCUAAGGUAGUGGAGUAGGCAAUUAGGGUCGAACCACUCUAAAUCAUGGUGUUCUUCUUUCAAUUUUCCUUCUAACUUUCACAAAAUUUUUAAAAAUUCAAUUCACCCUCUCUUGGCAAUUUUUGUUUCAUUUAUCGAGCUAACAAUUGGUAUUAGAGCUAGUCUCUAAAAACAGUCUAACAACCAAGAGAAGAUCCUCGAGGUAGCUCAAAUCUCAUCUCUUCAAAAUGCACAAGAUGACAUCUUCUUCCAGCUCCAUUUUGGUUGGUGAGUCUCAAUCUAUCUCCAAACCUCCUUCUUUCAAUGGUACAAAUUAUUCAUAUUGGAAAACUAGAAUGAUGUUGUUCAUCCAAGCUAAAGAUCUUGCCGUGUGGGAUGUCAUCAUUCCUCAAAAGCAAGAAGAAGAUAAAUUAGUUCCAAAGAGCAAGAAUGAAUGGAAUGAGGAAGAUAGGAGAAACGUUCAACUCAACGCAAAGGCCAUGCACACUCUCUUUUGUGCACUUGGUUCGGAUGAAUAUAGUUGAGUUACUUCAUUUUCCAAUGCCAAGGAAAUUUAGGACAAAUUGGAGGUCAUUCAUGAGGGUAUCGAUCAAGUUAAGAAAUCAAAUGUAGGAAUUCUUACUUUCAAUUAUGAGAAUUUCAUGAUGAAGCCCGUGGAGGACAACAAAGCUAUGUUCGAUAGAUUCACCAUCAUCAUCAAUGAACUCAAAUCAUAUGGGAAGACCUAUCCCAAUGAAGAAGUAAUAUGGAAGAUGCUUAGAAGCUUACCUUUGUCUUAAGAUGCUAAAGUUACAACUAUAGAGGAAGCUAAAAACUUGGAGACUCUUUCAUUAGAUGAGCUAAUUGGUUUCUUGCUCACUCAUGAAAUUAGACUCAAGGGAAUGAAAAAAGGAGAACAAAAAGUUGAAAAGAAGAAGGUUGGUGUUGCUCUCAAGUCCACAAUAGUAGAGAGUAAUUCUAAUGAAGAUGUGGAUGAUGAUGAAGAGAUGGUCAUGUUUGCAAGAAGAUUCAAGAGAUUUAUGAAGUCCAACAAAGGAAGAAUAUUUCUAAAGAAGGAAUGACUCAAAGUUGAAUCAACCAAGGAGAAAGAUCACAUUAUUUGUUAUGAGUGCAAGAAAUUGGGACACAUCAAGUUUGACUGUCGUCAAUGGAAUAAGAAGGGGUCUAGCAAACAAAAACACAAGGCCAAGGUUGCUAUUUGGAGUAAUGAGGAUUCAUCCGAUGAAGAAAAUCAAGAAGUAGUCAAGCUAUGUCUCAUGGUCAUCAAUGAUUAUAAGGUAAAUUCUAACUCAUCUAUUUCAAUUUAUUAUUCUUUUGAUGAGUUGCAAGAUGCCUAUGAUGAAUUGGGUUUGGAAUUUGAAGUCAUGAAUUCAAAACAUAAGAAAAUUAUUUCAAAAUUGAAAAAUGAAAAUGAUUUGCUUUCCAAAACCAAUCAUGAACUUGAAGAGAAAGUAAACAAAAUGUAAGAAAUUGUUAAUGAUUUUGAUAAGAAGAAUUUAGAUUUAUAUAAUUUACUUUCUAAAGUUCAUAAUGAUGACAUACCCUUGUAACCCUAGGUAUAAAUGUUAAUUUUACACAAAAUAAUCGACUUUUAUUCCAUUUUUACUUACCCUAGCUGUUCCUCCCCUCCCUUCUCAUCUCUUCCUCUCACUCUCUUUGGUUUUACUUUUUUUCCUUUUAUCCAUUGUUAUCGUCGCCUACACCUAGUUUUACCAUUUCUUUCUUCUUUUUUUUUGCCUCAAGAUUUGUUAACAUAUUCUCCACCAUAUUGUUGUCAUUUUCUUUUUCAUGGUUCUUUGCACCAUCUUUCAUUCAAUCAUACAUAAUCAUCAUAAUUUUGAUUACUGUUCAAUUUAAUCACUUAUGUUUAUGUGUAGAUUAUAUAUUCAUUUCUUAAUCUUAGUACUUUUCACAAUACAAAUCACAUUUUCUCUUACUUACUAAUUUAGUGUUUUAAUUUUCUAUACUUCGUCAAAUACUUUUUAUUCCUAGUAUUUAUAUUAAAAUACAUGUUUCAUACAUCUCAUUCACAACAUAUUUAACUCAAUCUAUUGAAAUACAAUUAAGGUUAGUAUGGAACUUACCCCUUUUGUCAAGAAUUUCUUCAUUUUUUCUUCAUUUCCCUUCCUUCCUCAUCUUCACCACUUUCUUUCCCUUUUCUUCUCAUUUUCUUUACUUCCAUCUACUAUUUUCUUGCUUUUAAAUUGAUGAACAUAUUCUCUAGAAUUUUUACUUCAUCUUUUCUUUUUGGUGUCUAAGGAAAAUUUCAAGAAUUAUUAGUGAAAAAGUGAGUUUUCAUGGUAAAGGAUUAAAUUGUAAGAAAAAUAAAACUUUCACUUCUCUAGCUAUCUCUCACGUUGGAAUGUCAAAAGAUGAUGAAUUCUCUUCAUCUUUCCUCUCUUUUUAUACCAAUAAUUUUUAUAAUAUAAUAUUUAUAUUAUAACAUUUAUCUAAUUAUUUAAUUUAAAAUAUCAUUAAGGUAUCUCUCAUGUCAUCGUUACACUCCAAAAUUCUUUCUCAUGCUAAUUGACCAUUUGACUCUUUAUAAUCCUUAAUUUGUUAAAAUUGUGAUUUAGUCCAUCAUAAUUCUUAAUUUAUUCAAUUUAGUCAUUAUUCAUCCAUUUUCCUUAUUUUCUAGACUCUUCCACCCUUAAUAUAUUUGCACUAUUGAACCUUUAAAUUUUUCAUAUUUAUACUUUAACCCCUCACAUUUUAGAUAUUUACACUUGGACCACCUAACUUUUCAUAUCUUUAUGAUUUAGUCUCUGGCUCAAAUUAAUAUUUCACAACAUACUUCUUAUUUAAUUUUUCUCUAACAUCCCUUAUCCUUUACUUUCUUUAUAUCUUAUUUCACUAAGAAUCUAUCUCAUAAUAUUUUCUACGAAGGGGUUUUUGAGGAUGUUACAUAAUCUCACCACUAAAAUCAUCCUCUCUUCAUUUUCUUUUAAACUACUACAUUAUAUUAUUCCAAAAUAACCUAAAAUUCCAUGAAAUAGAGUCUAAAGCCGCCACCUUUCCUAGACCCAAUCUCCACUACCGAUUGUGGGAUGGGAUAGUUAUUGAAAAUUGAUGUUAAUGGUUCCGUAGUGGGUGGUGUCGUAGUGGUUGGUUCUAACCCUAGUGACGGAAGAUUUGGAGCAUAAAAACAAAAUGAAGAUGACUAUGAGACCUAACAAUGGAGGAUUUUGUAACGCCCAAAAAAAAAUCCCUUGUAUAUCUAUUUUUGUAUGUUUGUGACAUAAAUACAUGUCUGCUUCAGUGGUUAAGUGUUUUGGGAAGUGUCUGAGAGGUCCCAAGUUCUAGCCUUAGCUUGGGAAAAAAUUUGUUUUUAAUUGAAUAAACCCCUAUCAUUAGCCAGUAGGCUUAUAAAUAAAUGUUAGUGAAAUAUGUCAGAAUGGGUCUGCUGGUCUAGUGGAUAAGUAGAGUGGCAAAGUGUUGGUGGUUUUAAGUUUGAGUACUGGUAUGCGCAGAGAGUGUUUUAUUUUGCUGCUAGUGUCGUGUGGGUGUUUUAGUCUAACCGAACUACUGAAGAGUUGGAGUGGAAUUUGAAUUAGGUGGUUGAGGGAGGGGUGGACAAUUUUUGGGGAGUGGAUUGAGGGAUUUGGGGAGAAAAGUAAGGAGUAGAGGCAUUUGAGUUGGACUGGGAUGUUGAGUGGUUGGAAUGGAUGUGGUUUAGUGGAGUAAAUCAAGGAGUUUGGGGAGUUACCCUUUGAUUCCGAAAAUCUCUGCCGAACUCUCCUCUACCAUCUCUUAUUUUUUAUUUUUUUAUUUCGAGUGCUUUCCCUCUACCUGUCGAAUUUUUCCCUCUUCACCUUUUCUUUUUCUUUUGUUUUCAGCCAAAAUCCCCCAUUGCUGCCAUUUUCCCCUUCAAUUCUCUUUCUUUUUUGUUUUGUUGCCGAAAUUUCAAGUGUUUCUCCUUAUCUUUCAUUUCGGUCUAUCUGGCUCAUUGACUUUUGUUUCCAUGCGAUAAUGGUAAGUAGUGUUGUUGUGUUCUUUUAGUUUUGGUUUCGAAAGAUUUUGAUUCUGUUGUUUGUAUAUAGGGGACGAUCGUGAAGUGGUUUUUCUUCCCAACGAAUUGAUUAGCGCGAGUAGUCGGGGGUGAUUGCGGUAAGUGAGUGCAUUUCACUCGUCUUGGUAUUUAUUAAUUUUUGUUUUAGUUAAAUUCGAGAUUGGGUGCGCUGCUUGCAGGUUGCAGAAGGUUAGGAAGUGCGGUCGACGCCACACCGGCGUGUGGUCACCCGUGUGGUAGGCCGUGUGAUCGAACAUGGGCGUGUGAUCGAUGAGGUCAGCCAUGCACGAUACAUUGGCCGAGCCGAAUUGGACUCGUGGGCCCUACACGUGCAUGUGGUAAUAUUGGGCCAGGCUGUGAGAUCCAUACGACCGAGGCCAUUUUGGGUCGUGUGGGCCACACAUGUGUCUAGGCCCACAUGGGCAUACAACAAGGGCCUGUGGGCCCAUUUUCACUGUUUGACUACUAAGGUUGCACGAGUUGCCUAAGUCGACUGUGGACCUACUAUAGGGUCGGUAAGUUUACUUGGACCCCUUAUUAAUUGAAAUGAUUGAAAGACUGUUAUAUGCCUAUAUGAGAUAGAUAUGUAUGUCUGUAUGUUGAGCAUGUUAUUCGCACUAUACUGAUUAUACAUGAUACCAUGACAUGACUGUAUGAUGCAUUGUAGUGGGUUGGGGAUUGAUAUUUAUUAGAGGAAGUGUACUGAAAGGCCUCGAGCCUAACUUACUAGCAACUCAGCUGUAACUACUGCCUAGUGUCGCAUUCGGUACUUUUUGGAGUGUAGAGAUGGGUGGGUCGAUUAUAUCCCCACUUGGAGUGUAGGGUUGGACGGAGAUGGGUGGGCUGGUUAGGUAGGACCUGUAUACUGUAUAAUCUAUUACUAUACUGAUUAUUGUUACUGUAAUGGGCCAAGGCCCAAACACAUGAUUGCUUUUGUGCUGAGAUGGACUAAAGACCAAACUGAUAUUGUCUCUGACACUGAAAAGGGCCUAGGCUGAGACCAUGAUUGCUUUCUGUUUGUUUGCUUUAUAUGGGAUUACACUGAGUUUUCGUAAACUCACCCUUCUGAUUUGACUGUACAAGAAAUCCCUAAACAUAGGCGGAUUGGUGCGAGGAGGACUCAGCGGUGGCCACACGACCUAUUUAAUUCGAUUUAGUACUUAAUUAUAAUUUUAAUUUUAUUUUGGGGUAUUUUACUGUAAUAAUGGUCUUUCUGGAUUUUUAUGUUUAAUUUGGGGUUUCUAUUGUUUUGACUUACAAUUGCUAGUAGUAGGGAUAAUCGAGUUUUCAAAACGAAACAAACAUUUUAACAAAAUACAUACAAAUUGGCAAACUGUUUUAAAAAGUUUUCGCGAUAAAUAACGUUUUGAAAAUUUAUAACGUUUUGAAAGAGAAUAACUUAUGAAUAUGAAUCACGUUUGAAAUUGAUCGACA